ACUCACUUUACCCUCACUGAGGACCCCGUUAUCGUCUGAAGUAAUCUUGGUGACAGCUCUUGUUGAAUUGCAGGUGACAUUCUUGAAGCACGGGUGACUUCCAUCUGCUCCUAAGAAACAACAGCAAUGCUCGAAGCAGAGGUUGGAGAUGUGAUUGGCACUACACGAGGGCUCUGACCUCCUCAGUGGAUUAAUCCAUUUGUGGAUCACAGACUGUUGGUCAGUGUGGAGGUAACAGAGCCUAGGAGGGCACCAUGCUUUCUUAAAAUCAAAUACCUUAUGGAUUUGAUGAUGCAGGCUUUGCAGAACC